AGAAGCCCUAAGCUUGCCCAUUUGGGCAGAGGGACCUUCCUCCCAUGGUGACUGCAACCCUUUUAAAUGUAGUAAUGCUCUGCCCAUCUGCACUUGCUCCUGUUGUGGUAAGUCUGAACAGGCCAAGAUAGACUGGAAUGUGUCCCAGCUUGCCCAGACACAUCUCUCUGCUCUCCUCCCUCCUGCUCCGGGAAGAAUUAACAGCGAGGAAGAAGACAAAGGGCCUGGAGGCACUGAGUUGUAGGACCAGGAUGUUGGUAUCUGUUUGGUGCCAUCUCUGCAAGACCUUCAAUCCUGCCUUUGAUUUAAUGUUCUUUUAUGCUUUCCUCAUACACCUGCUGUUCAGUAUCAGGGGUUCAGAUUCUACAGAAUGACAAGAUAAUGACUUUCUUGCCUUUUGAAUUUAAGAAGCACCACCAUGUAGUAUUCCUACUGCAAUUAAUUCAUGACUGCAUUUUCCCCUUCAGAAUUUCAUCUUUGCUGAAAAAC